rnacentral:rRNA from 1 species
UACGAAGGGGGCUAGCGUUGCUCGGAAUCACUGGGCGUAAAGCGCACGUAGGCGGCUUGUUAAGUCAGGGGUGAAAUCCUGGAGCUCAACUCCAGAACUGCCUUUGAUACUGGCGAGCUUGAGUACGGGAGAGGUGAGUGGAACUGCGAGUGUAGAGGUGAAAUUCGUAGAGUAUUCGCAAGAACACCAGUGGCGAAGGCGGCUCACUGGCCCGUAACUGAC